UAUAAACCAGAAGUUUCAUUAUCGCCUGACUUCUCAGACUGAACGGAUUUAAAAAACAAGAACUUUAAGAAAGCUGUAAGAUGAACGUUGGCCCAGAAUCGACUAGGUUGGUGUGUCCCAGUUGCCAGGUGACGAUUACGACUAAAACGACUCCUAGAUCUUCAAGUAGAACGCAUCUGAUUGCUAUUCUUAUGUGUGCAGUUGGCUGUUGUCUCUGUGCUCCAUUUCUAUAUUGUACCGAAUGUGCCCGAGACAUCGAUCACACUUGCCCCUCCUGCAACAACUAUAUUGGCACAUACAAACGCUGACAAUGCUGUGAAUAGUAAAUUAUGAGGGCUACCCAAAAAUGUAUCAAAGGUGAAGAGUUCACGCUGUUCUAAUCAAUUAUGUUUUCUGUGUUAGUUGCUUAAAUAAAAUGUUCUGGGUGAUGUUCAGAGUAAUUCAUUUAACACAAUGAGCAAAAACUUGUAAUAUGAGGUUCAGUUAAAGUUAAAGAUUAUUUCUAUAUAAUAUUAAAGUGUCA